GUGGGGAUUAGUGGCGAACGGGUGAGUAACACGUGGGCAAUCUGCCCUGCACUCUGGGACAAGCCCUGGAAACGGGGUCUAAUACCGGAUACUGAUCCGCCUGGGCAUCCAGGCGGUUCGAAAGCUCCGGCGGUGCAGGAUGAGCCCGCGGCCUAUCAGCUUGUUGGUGAGGUAGUGGCUCACCAAGGCGACGACGGGUAGCCGGCCUGAGAGGGCGACCGGCCACACUGGGACUGAGACACGGCCCAGACUCCUACGGGAGGCAGCAGUGGGGAAUAUUGCACAAUGGGCGAAAGCCUGAUGCAGCGACGCCGCGUGAGGGAUGACGGCCUUCGGGUUGUAAACCUCUUUCAGCAGGGAAGAAGCGAAAGUGACGGUACCUGCAGAAGAAGCGCCGGCUAACUACGUGCCAGCAGCCGCGGUAAUACGUAGGGCGCAAGCGUUGUCCGGAAUUAUUGGGCGUAAAGAGCUCGUAGGCGGCUUGUCACGUCGGUUGUGAAAGCCCGGGGCUUAACCCCGGGUCUGCAGUCGAUACGGGCAGGCUAGAGUUCGGUAGGGGAGAUCGGAAUUCCUGGUGUAGCGGUGAAAUGCGCAGAUAUCAGGAGGAACACCGGUGGCGAAGGCGGAUCUCUGGGCCGAUACUGACGCUGAGGAGCGAAAGCGUGGGGAGCGAACAGGAUUAGAUACCCUGGUAGUCCACGCCGUAAACGGUGGGCACUAGGUGU
rnacentral:rRNA from 1 species